rnacentral:rRNA from 1 species
UACGUAGGGUGCAAGCGUUGUCCGGAUUCACUGGGGGUAAAGGGAGCGCAGGCGGGUCUUCAAGUCGUUGGUGAAAUUCUCAGGCUCAACCUGGGGACUGCCAUUGAUACUGGAGAUCUUGAGUGCAGAAGAGGAAGACGGAAUUACUGGUGUAGCGGUGAAAAGCGUAGAUAUCAGGAAGAACACCGGUGGCGAAGGCGGUAUUCUGGUCUGUAACUGACGCUCAUGCUCGAAAGCGUGGGGAGCAAACAGG